rnacentral:rRNA from 1 species
GACGAACGCUGGCGGCGUGCUUAACACAUGCAAGUCGAACGGAAAGGCCCUGCUUUUGUGGGGUGCUCGAGUGGCGAACGGGUGAGUAACACGUGAGUAACCUGCCCUUGACUUUGGGAUAACUUCAGGAAACUGGGGCUAAUACCGGAUAGGAGCUCCUGCUGCAUGGUGGGGGUUGGAAAGUUUCGGCGGUUGGGGAUGGACUCGCGGCUUAUCAGCUUGUUGGCGGGGUAGUGGCCUACCAAGGCUUUGACGGGUAGCCGGCCUGAGAGGGUGACCGGCCACAUUGGGACUGAGAUACGGCCCAGACUCCUACGGGAGGCAGCAGUGGGGAAUAUUGCACAAUGGGCGGAAGCCUGAUGCAGCAACGCCGCGUGCGGGAUGACGGCCUUCGGGUUGUAAACCGCUUUCGCCUGUGACGAAGCGUGAGUGACGGUAAUGGGUAAAGAAGCACCGGCUAACUACGUG